AUUGAACGCUGGCGGCAUGCCUUACACAUGCAAGUCGAACGGCAGCACGGGAGCUUGCUCCUGGUGGCGAGUGGCGAACGGGUGAGUAAUACAUCGGAACGUACCCUGAAGUGGGGGAUAACGUAGCGAAAGUUACGCUAAUACCGCAUAUUCUGUGAGCAGGAAAGAGGGGGAUCGCAAGACCUCUUGCUUUAGGAGCGGCCGAUGUCGGAUUAGCUAGUUGGUGAGGUAAAGGCUCACCAAGGCGACGAUCCGUAGCGGGUCGGAGAGGAUGAUCCGCCACACUGGGACUGAGACACGGCCCAGACUCCUACGGGAGGCAGCAGUGGGGAAUUUUGGACAAUGGGCGCAAGCCUGAUCCAGCCAUGCCGCGUGAGUGAAGAAGG
rnacentral:rRNA from 1 species